CUGCUGGGGGCCACAGAAAAUCGGCUCCUGCGACUGUUUAGCAAAAACACAGGACUCUGCAAACUCGUAAGAGGAAGUAUAGAGUCUGACGCCUGCCCGGUGCCGGUAGGUUAAGGAAGACGGUUAGCCCUUUUAGGGUGAAGCUGGCGACCGAAGCCCCGGUAAACGGCGGCCGUAACUAUGACGGUCCUAAGGUAGCGAAGUUCCUUGUCGGGUAAGUUCCGACCCGCACGAAUGGCGUAACGACUGCUCCAUUGUCUCAACUUAGGGCUCGGUGAAAUUGUAGUCGUGGUGAAGAUGCCACGUUCCCGCACCAAGACGGAAAGACCCCGUGAACCUUUACUGUAACCUGGCAUUGGGCCCUGGCACAGCAUGUGUAGCAUAGGUGGGAGGCUUUGAAGCGGACACGCUAGUGUUCGUGGAGCCAUCUGUGAAAUACCACCCUUGUAUUAUUGAAAGUCUAACCAUGCACCUUGAAUCAGGUGUUGGAACAGUGUCUGGUGGGUAGUUUGACUGGGGCGGUCUCCUCCCAAAAUGUAACGGAGGAGCCCAAAGGUCACCUCAGCACGGUCGGUAAUCGUGCGCAGAGUGCAAACGCAUAAGGUGGCUUAACUGCGAGACCGACAGGUCAAGCAGAUGCGAAAGCAGGGGUUAGUGAUCCGGCGGUCCCGUGUGGAAGGGCCGUCGCUAAUCGGAUAAAAGGUACUCCGGGGAUAACAGGCUUAUCUCCCCCAAGAGCUCAUAUCGACGGGGAGGUUUGGCACCUCGAUGUCGGCUCGUCGCAUCCUGGGGCUGGAGAAGGUCCCAAGGGUUGGGCUGUUCGCCCAUUAAAGUGGCACGCGAGCUGGGUUUAGAACGUCGUGAGACAGUUCGGUCCCUAUCCUCUAUGGUCGUAGGAAAUUUGAGGGAAUCUGCUUCUAGUACGAGAGGACCGAAGUGGACGAACCUCUAGUGUGCCUGUUGUCGCAUCAGCGGCAUUGCAGGGUAGCUACGUUCGGCAGGGAUAAGCGCUGAAAGCAUAUAAGCGCGAAACCCAUCCCAAGAUAAGAUUUCCCUUCCCACCUCGGUGGGACUGAAGACUUCCAGUAGAAUACUGGUUUGAUAGGUCACAGAUGUAAGUGC
rnacentral:rRNA from 1 species